rnacentral:rRNA from 1 species
AACGAACGCUGGCGGCAUGCCUAACACAUGCAAGUCGAACGAGACCCUCGGGUCUAGUGGCGCACGGGUGCGUAACGCGUGGGAACCUGCCUUUAGGUUCGGAAUAACUCAGAGAAAUUUGAGCUAAUACCGGAUAAUGUCUUCGGACCAAAGAUUUAUCGCCUUUAGAUGGGCCCGCGUUGGAUUAGCUAGUUGGUGGGUAAAGGCCUACCAAGGCGACGAUCCAUAGCUGGUCUGAGAGGAUGAUCAGCCACACUGGGACUGAGACACGGCCCAGACUCCUACGGGAGGCAGCAGUGGGGAAUAUUGGACAAUGGGCGAAAGCCUGAUCCAGCAAUGCCGCGUGAGUGAUGAAGGCCUUAGGGUUGUAAAGCUCUUUUACCCGAGAUGAUAAUGACAGUAAUCGGGAGAAUAAGCUCCGGCUAACUCCGUGCCAGCAGCCGCGGUAAUGUGACUACUG